UAAAUUGCAAUCUUAUUUUGGGACACCAGUUGACCUUUUUUGUUCAAUUUGGAAGCAACUCCAGGGUCAAAUCCUUUCAGCAUUUUAACAGUUCUUACAAAGUCAUACAAAGAACAUAGUCAGGCUAUCGGAUGGAGUGUCUUUGAGCUGACUAUGGACAAAGAGAAACUACAUCUACCCCAAGACUGGUCAUUAUGAUUGGAAGAAUUAUCCCUGAGGUAAGGCAGUUCCAGGGUGGCCUCUGCUCCUGUUGUAUACUUGUAGCAGCUGAAAAAGCAAGGAUGGCGAUAAGGGAGGAGGAGGGGAAGCAUAUUGAAGAUGAAAGACCACCGACUGUAGAAUGGGCAUGAGAGCGAGAAGGACUAUUGCUCAUCAUAAUAAAACCCUUGCAGAGCCGAGGACAGGGCUAGAAAAUGACAGAGGCCACUAAGUGCACUUUGUGAUGCUGAAAGCAAAAAGGUAAGGCUCUUUGGAAUCAGUGUGUGUAUGAGGUUUUUUUUUUUUUGCUUUUACAUUGCCGCAUGCACGAUCAUGCGGGCAUGGGUAAAUAAAACCUGCACUACUAAUGUACAAAAACUCCUACAGUACAUCAGAUAGUUGUAAUGUUUGUGCUCAUUCGAUCUCAGAAUGUUAAUCUGCUGGAGUUUUACUUUGAGCAAGCAAGCAACCAGGCAACAAAGCUUCAACAUUUAGCGUCCUCAGUUCCCAAACACAUACAGAGUAUUGUUAAAAGGAAAGGUAAUAUAAAACAAUGGUAAUCAUCUCUCUGUGCCUGGACCAGUGUUUUUGUGCAGGCAUCAAAUUCCAAAUAGGUGAAUGAAUGAAUGAAUGAAUGAAUGAAUGAAUAAAUAAAUAAAUAAAUAAAUAAAUAAAUAAAUAAAUAAAUAAAUAAAUAAAUAAAUAAAUAAAUAAAUAAAUAAAUAAAUAAAUAAAUAAAUAAAUAAAUAAAUAAAUAAAUAAAUAAAUAAAUAUCCUUCCAUCUGUGGUCCCUUCUCAAGGUUUCUCAUUUUCCCCUGGCAGGUUUUUUUUUUUUGAGUUUUUCUUUGCCCUUUUGGUUGCUUAAGAUCAGGGCAUGCUUUGAGAAUAAUUGUCAAUUUUUGUUUAUGUGAAGCCCUUUGAGACUGCUUGUGAUUUAGGGCUAUACAAAUAAACUUGACUUGACUAGAAUUGGGGUUUGUACAAUUAGCCCCUAUACACCAAGAUAGGACCCUAAAUAGAAAUAAAAACUCAGCGUGGAAUAAUUGUACCCAGAAUUAAGCAUACAUUGUUGAAGGCUGUCACAGUUUGUUGUCAUGGUUGGUAACUUUCUAAUUCUCUACAGGCUUCUCCCGAUAACACAUACUGUUUCAAUUGAGAAUCAGACUGACAAGCUAAGACUGGGGUAAUUUUUGGUCAAUAGGCUUUCUCUAAAUUGCUGGAAAGAUUGUUCCUUAAGGGCAAAUAUGUGUGUAUAAAGACUGCUGAUGAAUUUUAUUUUAUUUUUUUACCAUUUUUUUUUUAAACUCUGAUUGGCUCAUGGAUUUCUAAAUUCACUAGCCAUGAACCAACGGCUCCUCUCAGUCUUUCAUACGCUCUUAUGCUUAGAAAUUCCUUGAGCUACUCUUUCUUUACUUUCUCUCACAUUAUCUCUGUGGGUAUAAUUUUUUCUUUCCACUCCUGCCACGUUAUAGCACUCAACAUUAACGAUCAAUUUGACAAUGCACUUUACAUCCAGCAUUAUUGCCCAGGAGAGACUAGUAGUCAAACACCAUAUUGAUCCAGAGUGUAAUUCUCCUGCUUGCUUUGAGUGUUGGAGCUAUCAACACAAAGUGAUUAGCAGAAACGUUACUUUUGUGCAAAAUGUUGAUCCUGUGGACCAGAAUGAGCAAAUCACAGGACUGUUGCAUGCAUGUCUUGUUCAUUCACUUGCAGUACAUGUCUGAACACUCAUUCACCGUACAUGUCUAUAGGCAAGAAUGUAUGGGCGUAUGCAAAAAGACCAGAACCAGAUUUGACGCAAUGCCUCAUCAAGGUUUUUUGUUUUCAUGACCGUACAAUUGGAUAUUGCGAGCAUGUGGGAUAACAAGAUUCGUCACAUAAAGGCUGGAAACUCUCCUGAUCAAAAGUUUUUCAUCACAUGAUCAGUAUUUGUGUGUGCGUCUUGUUGGAGGGUCAGAUUAGGAGGAUAAAGACUGAGUCGUGUUUGUCCACAUUUGGUCGUUUUUCUCCUCUAUAACACCAUUUAAUAUCAGCUAUGGGAUAAAUUUUCAAUCAUGUAUAUCAGGGAUUGUCAGCCGUUGGUCAGUGCAAAUAAAUAGCCUGUAUUGGUCUAGCCUCCUUCAGUGCUAAAUAAUAUAAUAUUCCACCAAACCAGUGGUCUCCGAGUUGCUUCUUGGUCCCUUGGAAAAAACAGUUGAAAACCCCUGAUUUAGAUACACACAUAAUGUAAACAUCAAUGUGUCCAAACACCUACAUACUGCAAAUACAAGUCUGUCCAUGAAAAAUUAGAGGUCUGGACCUUGGUAACCACAUAGGGCUGACUUUCGUCACUACAAAAAAACAAACGAACAAACAAACAAACAAACAAGCACAACUGGCAGGGUUCAAAAAUCAACUGAGACUCCAUGACGGCACUAAUGGAGCAUGCAUCGCAUUCAUAUUUACAUUGGGGACUAUUUAAUUCGUUUAUUUCCGUGUAAUUGUGUCUCAGAAGACCUGCGUGUGAUGUGGAUGCGAGUGCAUCUCUGCAUGACGGGUUUGUUUGUUCUCUAGUGAAUGCAAUCACAGAGGACUUGUGUAUACAACACACAUUGGAUAUUUUUUGCAAUGUUGUUACUCCAGUAGCCAAGCCCCCAUUGUGAAGGCAUGGCAGGAGUUGUACUGCUCGUCACACGGAUGCAAUAUUUUGAUCACAAGAUUAGUCAACCGAGACUUGGAAUUGAAGCUUGUUGACUAAAAGCAAUGUUGAAGGUAUUUGUUUAUGUUUAUUUUCUUUUUCUUUAAGUAUACAUCAAAAACUUGAGCUACAGCUUGCAAUUUAUGGAUUUGAGUUGAGCAUAAAAACUGGAGAAUCUCUGGAGUAUCAUCACACUUCCCAGGUGGCUUCACCAUUCCCGCCUGCCAAGCUACAAGACCUCAAAUCCCAGUUCCUUCACCAUAACAGUUUGAAUAAACAGUGGCACUGAUUCAAAAUUA